ensembl:lncRNA
UCAUUUUCCAGCCCAACAGUUCUUUUUAAACUACACACAUUUUUCAGGCUUGAGUUUUAAAGUGCGAUUUUGCUAUUCACCUACAAAUGCUGGACAUAGGUAGGCAAGUUUCAUAGCCAGACAUCUGACUCCCGAAAACAGCAAAUGAGGUGAAAUUCAUUAUAGAACUACACAGAACAAACUAACAUUUUUUAUUAUUAUUUAAAGUGCUUACAAAAACCACCACAACAACAACACAAUAGAAAACCAUCAACAACAACAAUAAUAAUAAAAAAAAAAACAGACCACAUAAGUCAUCCACCACAGUGAAUCAUAGAAUGAAUCAUGGAAUCACAGAAUGGCUUGGGUUGGAAGGGAUCUCAAGGAUCAUGAAGCUCCAACUACCCCACUGCAGGCAGGGCCACCAACCUCCACAUUUAAUACUAGAUCAGGCUGCCCAGGGCCUCAUCCAACCUGUCCUUGAACACCUCCAGGGACGGGGCAUCCACAACCUCCCAGGGCAGCCCGUUCCAGCACCUCACCACUCUCUCUGUAAAGAACUUCCUCCUGGCAUCCAACCUAAAUCUUCCCUCCCUCAACGUAAAACCAUUUCCCCUUGUCCUGCCAUUAUCUACCCUUGUAAAGAGUUGACUCCCCUCCUGUUUGUAGGCCCCCUUUAUGUACCGGGAGGCUGCAAUGAGGUCACCCUACAGCCUUCUCUUCUUCAGGCUGAAUAAGCCCAGCUCCCUCAUCCUGUCUUCAUAGGUGAGGUGCUCCAGUUCCCUGAUCAUCUUUGUGGCCCUCCUUUGUGGACCCUCUCCAACAGCUCCCUGUCUUUCUUGUGUUGGGGACGCCAGAUCUGGAUGCAGUACUCCAGAUGGGGCCUCACUGGGGCAGAGUAGAGAGUGAUAAUCACCUCCCUAUCCCUGUUGGCCACUCCUCUUCUGAUGGAGCCCAGGAUACCAUUUACUUUCAGAGUUACAAGAGCACAAUGCUGGCUCAUGUUCAGUUUUUCAUCCACCAGGAUCCCCAAGUCCUUCUCUGCAGGGCUACUCUCAAGGGCUACUCCUUCCAGCCUGUAUAAAUGCCUGGGAUUCCUCUGGCCCAAAUGCAAAACCUUGCACUUUGCUGUGUUGAACCUCAUUAGAUUCACCCGGGCCCACCUUUUGAGUCUGUUGAGGUCCCUCUGAAUGGCAUCCCUUCCUUCCACUGUGUCAUAUCAUCUUCUACAGUGGACACACAUAUGACAAAACUGUAAAAAUAAGCAGUGAAU